rnacentral:rRNA from 1 species
CCUGGCGGCACUAGCGCGGUGGUCCCACCUGACCCCAUGCCGAACUCAGAAGUGAAACGGCGUAGCGCCGAUGGUAGUGUGGGGUCUCCCCAUGUGAGAGUAGGGAAUAGCCAGGC